rnacentral:rRNA from 1 species
CGCGCACGCUGGCGGCAGGCCUAACACAUGCAAGUCGAACGAACUCUUCGGAGUUAGUGGCGGACGGGUGAGUAACACGUGGGAACGUGCCUUUUGGUUCGGAAUAACUCAGGGAAACUUGUGCUAAUACCGAAUGUGCCCUUCGGGGGAAAGAUUUAUCGCCAUUAGAGCGGCCCGCGUCUGAUUAGCUAGUUGGUGAGGUAACGGCUCACCAAGGCGACGAUCAGUAGCUGGUCUGAGAGGAUGACCAGCCACACUGGGACUGAGACACGGCCCAGACUCCUACGGGAGGCAGCAGUGGGGAAUCUUGCGCAAUGGGCGAAAGCCUGACGCAGCCAUGCCGCGUGAAUGAUGAAGGUCUUAGGAUUGUAAAAUUCUUUCACCGGGGACGAUAAUGACGGUACCCGGAGAAGAAGCCCCGGCUAACUUCGUG